CUAGGAAUCUUGGGAAUGGGCGAAAGCCUGACCCAGCAACGCCGCGUGAGUGAUGAAGGCCUUCGGGUUGUAAAACUCUUUUGCAGGGGAAGAUGAUGACGGUACCCUGCGAAUAAGCCACGGCUAACUACGUGCCAGCAGCCGCGGUAAUACGUAGGUGGCGAGCGUUGUCCGGAUUUACUGGGCGUAAAGGGCGUGCAGGCGGUCCGUUAAGUUCAGGGUGAAAGCUCCCGGCUCAACUGGGAGAGGUCUCUGGAUACUGGCGGACUUGAGGGAGGUAGAGGAAAGUGGAAUUCCCGGUGUAGUGGUGAUAUGCGUAGAUAUCGGGAGGAACACCAGUGGCGAAGGCGGCUUUCUGGGCCUUACCUGACGCUGAGACGCGAAAGCGUGGGGAGCGAACCGG
rnacentral:rRNA from 1 species